ACUGUGGCAGCAUAUACUAAAAUUGGAAUGAUACAGAGAAAGUUAGCAUGGCCCCUGCGCAAGGAUGGCAUGCAAAUUCGUGAAGCGUUCCAGUUCCAC
ensembl:snRNA U6 U6 spliceosomal RNA